rnacentral:rRNA from 1 species
AUGGAAACUUAGAAUAUACCAUAUAUGUGAUGCUCAUCGAAUGAAUCGUGAUAAAUGCAGCGCAAUAAUUUGUGAGACGUACAUACAUUUAGGGCUGAAGGUGAUCCCAAUGUAUGAAAGACAAAUCUAGGAGGAAUGAGAUUGNCAUGGUGAAACUGAUCAGCAUCCCGNUGAGAGANGCCUAUGGUGUAACUCUUUGUUAGGAUAACUACUCGUGAGUACUGAGGUAUAUACGAUAACACGGUACUCGUGCACAGCGCGUAUACGAGUGCAGCGUAUCGGAUUAUGGUUAAGGUCGUAGCGAUCUGUAGUCAGUGGUGAAUCUCACAGUUUAUGUGAACUGCAUGAAUAACUGCAGGUCUUUGAAGUUGUUGUUUGAAAGUAGCUUGGAAAUAAGUAGUUGUUAGCGGUGAAAAUGCAUAGAUUUUACUUUAGAAACACCAAUUGCGAAAGGCAAGGUUUACUAAAGCAAAACUUGACGCUGAUGGACGAAAGCGUGGGGAGCGAACAGGAUUAGAUACCCUGGUAGUCCCACGCCCGUAAACGAUGCUAACUCGUUUUUUGGGCUUUCGGGUUCAGAGACUAACGAAAGUGAUAAGU